rnacentral:rRNA from 1 species
CCUACGGGGGGCAGCAGUGGGGAAUAUUGGACAAUGGGGGGAACCCUGAUCCAGCGACGCCGCGUGAGUGAAGAAGUAUUUCGGUAUGUAAAGCUCUAUCAGCAGGGAAGAAAAUGACGGUACCUGUCUAAGAAGCCCCGGCUAACUACGUGCCAGCAGCCGCGGUAAUACGUAGGGGGCAAGCGUUAUCCGGAUUUACUGGGUGUAAAGGGAGCGUAGACGGAGCAGCAAGUCUGAUGUGAAAGGUCGGGGCUCAACCCCGGGACGGCGUUGGAAACUGUUGAGUGGGAGUACAGGAGAGGCAAGGGGAAUUCCGAGUGUAGCGGGGAAAGGCGUAGAUAUUAGGAGGAACACCAGUGGCGAAGGCGGCUUACUGGACUUUAACUGACGUGGAGGCUCGAAAGCGUGGGGAGAAAACAGGAUUAGAGACCCGGGUAGUC